rnacentral:tRNA from 1 species
GGCCAAUUCCGCCCGGGGCGGCGACGGUCUGCAAAACCGUUUGGGACGGGUUCAACUCCCGUAUUGGCCU